ensembl:lncRNA
AUGCACAAACCUACGUUGCACUGUAAUGCAAAAACACAGUCAUUCAUAAGUCAAAUAUAUUUCUUUAUAACAAUUACUGUUGUUUUAAUAUUUUCUAAAACAUUUUACCAUUACAUUUUGUUUUUUUCAGUCUGUGUUCAUGUGUCAGGAUAGACGAAUGCUUCCACAUUCAGAGGUUUCUUCCUGUCAAUCACUUCUGGUUUGCUGAAGACAAUUAAUCCAAUCCAAUUUUAUUUAUAAAGCACUUUAAAAUACCCAGCACAGGAACAAAGUGCUGUACAGAAAAUAAGUUAAAACAAUAGAAUAACAGAAAACAGCAAAAUAAAUAAAUAAAACACAUAAAAUAUAAAAUUAAAACAGCCCUAUAUUAAAACAAAAACAAGAUAAAACAGCAUCGAAUCACCUAAAAACAACAGAAAUAAAAAUAAAAUCAAAGGCCAGGGUAAAGAGGUGGGUUUUCAAGAGUGACUUAAAAACAGAUAAAGAACUGGCCUGUCUAAUCUCUAAAGGAAGCUCGUUCCACAGUUUGGGAGCUGCUACAGCAAAAGCACGAUCUCCUCUAAGUUUACACCCAGUCCUGGGUAUCUUCAGGAGCAGCUGAUCAGCUGACCUGAGAGAGCGGGUGGGUGUAUAAGGCUGUAGCAGCUCAGAGAGAUAAGAUGGAGCUAGGCCAUGGAGAGCUUUAAAAGGAGUGCUGAGGAGGGUCUAACAUGAAGUCACAGCCGUGCUCUCCUGACAAGAUGUGGCUCAUCUUCUCACAUUUGUACAGCUUUUGGGAUGUCAGGGUGCUGCACUCAUCAAUGCAUUUGACUUCAUCAACUUCAACUUCGUCUUCAGGUGAUCCAGGUGAUUGAUAUAUGUAUUUUUUAUCUGCUUAUUUUGUUGUUUUUUGCCCUUUAUUCCCGUCCCUCUUCUCCGCUGUUUUUCUUUCCCUCUUUCUUUCUCCCCUUCUUUCCCCCAGUCAAGUCUGUCUCGUAUUUAGCAAGUGAAAAUAAAAUAAACAAUAAAAGUUGAAUCAAAUAGACCAUUGCGGCAAGGCUGGGAUGGUCAAUUUGGUAAAGUAAAUCCGUUGGGCAUCUUUCUUUGCCUUUAGACAAUAAUUCUGAUGGAAAAAGAACCAAAUGGGACAGGCAAAAAAAAAAAAAAAAAAGAAAAAAAAAAAGAAAAUAUACCCAACAGAUGUUAAUUUGCAUGUUACAUUCAUGAUACAGUUCUGUGCAAGUACGUCUAAUGUCAUUAUAGAUUAUUUAGAAAAUGUGAAACUGGUGAUUCAUUGUAAUGUGUAAAAAUACAUGGACGCACAGGAAACAAGGCAAAGAGAGAGGUUGUGUGUCCAGUUUAUUGUGAGUCAUUCAUAUUUUAUUUAUUGUUAUCAUUUAUUUUUAUUAGUUAAAUAAAAUGACGUCUGUGAACAAGCGAGAUGAAGAGGAUUUGAACUUUACUGUUACUGCAGUUUGUAUAGAGACAUGAGGGAAACAAUGCAAGGAGGAAAUGUUUCGAUUUAAGCAGGAUGAUGACAGCGAUGCUGAUCAGGUGAUGACACACAAGAAAAUGUCACUGCAGCUAAGGAGCCUCCGAGAAACUAGCUCACCCAAAACCUGCUGAACUGCAUUCCAGUUUACAGUCCAUUUGCGUGUGUCAGAGGUAAUUAAUAUUUCCACAUUCAGAGAUUCUUCCUGUCAGUCGACUCUGGAUUUUGUAAACACAGUUAAUAAUGAGAAAAAAAAAAGUCCAUGUUGAGUUUUCAUGUUCUCCUGGGUUCUCUCCAACUUCC